UACGUAGGAGGCGAGCGUUGUCCGGAAUUACUGGGCGUAAAGCGCACGUAGGCGGCUUUGUAAGUUAGAGGUGAAAGCCCGGGGCUCAACUCCGGAAUUGCCUUUAAGACUGCAUCGCUAGAAUUGUGGAGAGGUAAGUGGAAUUCCGAGUGUAGAGGUGAAAUUCGUAGAUAUUCGGAAGAACACCAGUGGCGAAGGCGACUUACUGGACACAUAUUGACGCUGAGGUGCGAAAGCGUGGGGAGCAAACAGG
rnacentral:rRNA from 1 species